UGUAUUUAUUAACCAUUUUAUUUCGUUAUUUUACUUAAGCAAAUAAAAUGCCGGGAUUACCGGGAACAAGUCACAUGUGCGUCAUGAAAAUAUAAAAGUGCAAAACCCCAUCGUUCCUCCUUUUUCCAUUUAAAUAAGAUGAAUACUAUCCCACCGCACGGCAGAGGAGCGGCUCACACACAGUUCAGAAAAAGCCUCACGAGUAGGCUACAAAAACUGAAGCGAGUGAGAGUCAUGAUAACCUAGGGCAAUUACUACAACAUACAGUACACACAAUCCCUAAAGAGACAUCGUAGUGUAACUUUAUAACAGAGCGAAUCAAUCUUUGGUCAGUAAUGUCUAGUGAGUCUUAUUCAACUGUAACUAACUCAAGUAAAGAGUGAAAUGGGAGCUCACUCUCACAAUUUACACAGACUAGGGGCUAUAGCCUACACACAGACACAUAUUAAAAUUCUCAACAGUGAUUAAAUGCAUUACCCAAAUAUAUAUUUUUUUUUAACAAACAUUUUUUGCCUUAUUCAAGAUUACACAAAUAUGGUGAUAGUCUACUUUCAUGAGCGGAAACAUUUGAAACUUGAAUAAUGAGCGACAAUUUGCAUAAAUGAAACUAUAACUGCAUGUGAAACUAGAUUGAUUACAGAUAUGCAUAACAUUCUAGGCACUUAAUCUUGGACACCAGAAAAAUGAUAAGUAAUUAAUAAAACAAAAUGUUCAAUACAUACAUACAUAACGUACAAGACAUGCCAGAGCAGUAUCGAAAGGAUUUCAGUUUUACUUUUACAUGUUUGUAAAACUUAAAACAUACAAAUCAUUUAAAAAACAAAACACACCAUUUGAAAGGACUUGGGUACAAACCAACACAAUGUAUGAUAUGAAUAUCACUGAAGAUAUCACCUACAAAUCUUUUGAACACCUUUGGAUUGAUUGUCAUCAGCUUUAUCACAUUCAGAGCAACACCUGCUCUUCAUACUUCCCAAGUUUGUCAGAAAUCAAGGCAAGAAGGCUACUUACACCAUGGCACUUAAAAUAUAGUCAAAGUUGCUGAUGGCAGAUGGACUGUGAAACCUGUGCCCACACACACGCGCUAUGCCACUGCUAUUUCACCCAGGGCUAUAAAUAGCAGCAGAGAUGAUAGAAAGCCAGAGGAGGCAGUUCUGAAGAUACAUGGCCAAAGUUUAUCAGCACUUUACCAACCACACCUCUUGAAGCUCAACCCUUGGUUUGAGAUGUCAGUAUGUGAAGAUCUCCAACUUUGGUACACACAGACACUAAGCACAUGGAGAGGGAUGUACAGUUACAGGAAUGGUGCUGGUUUUGACUUGGAGCACUUCUCUGCAUUAAAAGCAUGCUGAAUGGCUCUAGUUGGAUAAUCUUUCAUAUUCUCCUAUAUACCCAAACAUCUCUGGCAACAUGUGAAAACUCACAAGCACAUAGAGAGACACACAGCCACACAUCCACGCCCACACACAUGCAUGCACAUACAAACACUUGGUAACUACUAAAAGGGAGCAUCGCAGACAUGUCAGUAAGAGCUGAUGAACACAAUGAACAAUGAUAAAGGCACAAUCAAAAACACUAAGUCACAUCAAAUGUGUGCAAAAGUCUGGGUCGGUGGGUUUGUAUAAAAAAUAUAUUGAGUCAAAUAAAGUACAACAUAUCUUUACAUACUGUAAUGGGGGAUUUUGUGCAUAUAAAAUGUACAUUCUAGAUCAUGCAGUAGCACCAUUGUUUCUUGAGGUUCAACUUCUUCUGAAGAACAUCCUCUACUUCUGCCUUCCACAGUAUUUGCUUUGGCAUCCAGCAGCAACUCCUCCUGUAGAGAAACCACAUUGGAAGAGAGGAUAUUUUAAAUGCAUGCAUUGGUACGAAAGUGAUUCCAUACCUGCACCACCACCUGCUCCAGUAAGAGGGAUACCUGCUCCUCCAGCCACACCACCUGCUCCUCCCACAACUACAGGCGAGAUACAAAACACUGGGCUUGGCUCCAGGAAGUUGUCCAGCUCCUGCUCCGUAUGGAUCUGAGGAAAUACAGAGAACAUAAACGUAAUUUGCACAGCCUAUUUUUACUCUCUACUCAACAGUGACUGUAAUGCAAUAUCACCAGGGAUACGGACAUGAGAUGAUAUUAAUGGGCAAAUACCUGAAUAAACCAAUUACAGUGAUGGGGAUUUAGUCUGAGUAGAAAGUAACCUAAGGCCGCACAUGGCCAUAGUGAAUUAAGUUUGAGACUCCAUUACAAG
rnacentral:lncRNA from 1 species